rnacentral:rRNA from 1 species
GUGGGGAAUCUUGCGCAAUGGGCGAAAGCCUGACGCAGCCAUGCCGCGUGAAUGAUGAAGGUCUUAGGAUUGUAAAAUUCUUUCACCGGGGACGAUAAUGACGGUACCCGGAGAAGAAGCUCCGGCUAACUUCGUGCCAGCAGCCGCGGUAAUACGAAGGGGGCUAGCGUUGCUCGGAAUUACUGGGCGUAAAGGGCGCGUAGGCGGACAGCUUAGUCAGAGGUGAAAGCCCAGGGCUCAACCUUGGAAUUGCCUUUGAUACUGGCUGUCUUGAGUUUGGGAGAGGUGAGUGGAACUCCGAGUGUAGAGGUGAAAUUCGUAGAUAUUCGGAGGAACACCAGUGGCGAAGGCGGCUUACUGGUCCAUUACUGACGCUGAGGUGCGAAAGCGUGGGGAGCAAACAGGAUUAGAAACCCUGGUAGUCC